CAAAAAUCCAAGAAGAUUGAGAAACACUGCUGUGUAACAGCUAUCGCUAAAAGAAACAUAAAUGUCAUGGACGGAUUGAAAGUAAAGGGAGUCCUGAAGAAAGAAAUACUGUCCAGUCAGCUUGGCCAUCACUGGGGGCUCCCUCUCUUCCAGGUCAUCAGUAGCUCUCAGUCCUGCUAGAUGCCCACCUGCGGAUAUUUUCAAGCACACCCAUGCUGGGCCCCACCGCCAGAGAUUUGGGUGACAGUGGGUCGAGAUGCAGGUGACUGUCACGUGUGCUCCUGCCCCCUUCUCCGGCCGCCAGCUCCUUCUCCUCCUGUGU